UUGGACGGCCAUAGGGGCUUGGUUCACCCGAUCCCAUCCCGAACUCGGAUUAGGUUAAGGAGUUGGCCUACGAGAGAGUUAAGCAAGCCUCCGUUUCCAGUCGUACUGUGCUCAGCACGGGAGCCUGGAAAAGCUGUCCACC
rnacentral:rRNA from 1 species